GACGAACGCUGGCGGCGUGCUUAACACAUGCAAGUCGAACGGAAAGGCCCUGCUUUUGUGGGGUGCUCGAGUGGCGAACGGGUGAGUAACACGUGAGUAACCUGCCCUUGACUUUGGGAUAACUUCAGGAAACUGGGGCUAAUACCGGAUAGGAGCUCCUGCUGCAUGGUGGGGGUUGGACAGUUUCGGCGGUUGGGGAUGGACUCGCGGCUUAUCAGCUUGUUGGUGGGGUAGUGGCUUACCAAGGCUUUGACGGGUAGCCGGCCUGAGAGGGUGACCGGCCACAUUGGGACUGAGAUCCGGCCCAGACUCCUAGGGGAGGCAGCGGUGGGGAAUAUUGCACAAUGUGCGGAAGCCUGAUGCAGCAACGUCGCGGGCGGGAUGACGGCCUUCGGGUUGUAAACCGCUUUCGCCUGUGACGAAGCGAGAGUGACGGUAAUGGGUAAAGAUGCACCGGCUAACUACGUG
rnacentral:rRNA from 1 species